GAAUAACUUCAUGGGACAGAAUACUUGAGACGUAUAAAUAACUUUUGAAAAUGCAGCCUUCCGAAGAUGAUUUCAUACUGCGCAAGCUUGGUCACGUCCUGAUUCUUUUGUGUAUAGGAGGAUAUUUCAUAUACUGCAAGCUGAAGGAAUGGAUCCUCAAAUUCAUCGGAGCAACUAAAUUUGCAGCUGUACAG